rnacentral:rRNA from 1 species
GGAAUUUAGCAGAGAUGCUUUAGUGCCUUCGGGAACCGUGAGACAGGUGCUGCAUGGCUGUCGUCAGCUCGUGUUGUGAAAUGUUGGGUUAAGUCCCGCAACGAGCGCAACCCUUAUCCUUUGUUGCCAGCGGUUAGGCCGGGAACUCAAAGGAGACUGCCAGUGAUAAACUGGAGGAAGGUGGGGAUGACGUCAAGUCAUCAUGGCCCUUACGAGUAGGGCUACACACGUGCUACAAUGGCAUAUACAAAGAGAAGCGACCUCGCGAGAGCAAGCGGACCUCAUAAAGUAUGUCGUAGUCCGGAUUGGAGUCUGCAACUCGACUCCAUGAAGUCGGAAUCGCUAGUAAUCGUGGAUCAGAAUGCCACGGUGAAUACGUUCCCGGGCCUUGUACACACCGCCCGUCACACCAUGGGAGUGGGUUGCAAAAGAAGUAGGUAGCUUAACCUUCGGGAGGGCGCUUACCACUUUGUGAUUCAUGACUGGGGUGAAGUCGUAACAAGGUAACCGUAGGGGAACCUGCGGUUGGA